GUGUCAGCAGCCGCGGUAAUACAGAGGGUGCAAGCGUUAAUCGGAAUUACUGGGCGUAAAGCGAGCGUAGGUGGCUUGAUAAGUCAGAUGUGAAAUCCCCGGGCUUAACCUGGGAACUGCAUCUGAUACUGUUGGGCUAGAGUAGGUGAGAGGGAGGUAGAAUUUCAGGUGUAGCGGUGAAAUGCGUAGAGAUCUGGAGGAAUACCGAUGGCGAAGGCAGCCUCCUGGCAUCAUACUGACACUGAGGUUCGAAAGCGUGGGUAGCAAACAGGAUUAGAAAC
rnacentral:rRNA from 1 species